GACGAACGCUGGCGGCGUGCCUAACACAUGCAAGUCGAACGGACGAGAUUACUUCGGUAAUUGAGUUAGUGGCGAACGGGUGAGUAACACGUAGAUAAUCUGUCCUACAUUGGGGGAUAGCCCAACGAAAGUUGGAUUAAUACCGCAUACAGCUUAUUUAUCGCAUGGUAGGUAAGUGAAAGAUUUAUUGAUGUAGGGGGAGUCUGCGGCACAUUAGCUAGUAGGUGAGGUAAGAGCUCACCUAGGCAACGAUGUGUAGCCGGUCUGAGAGGAUGAACGGCCACAAUGGAACUGAGAUACGGUCCAUACUCCUACGGGAGGCAGCAGUGGGGAAUAUUGCACAAUGGGGGAAACCCUGAUGCAGCAACGCCGCGUGAGUGAAGACGGUUUUCGGAUUGUAAAGCUCUGUGAGCAGGGAAGAGAUAGGACAGUACCUGCAGAGGAAGUCACGGCUAACUACGUGCCAGCAGCCGCGGUAAUACGUAGGUGGCAAGCGUUGUUCGGAAUAACUGGGCGUAAAGGAUGCGUAGGCGGUUUGAUAAGUUAUAUGUUAAAUACACAGGCUUAACCUGUGGAAAGCAUAUAAAACUGUCAGACUAGAGUGCAGGAGAGGUAAGUGGAAUUCCUAGUGUAGCGGUGAAAUGCGUAGAGAUUAGGAAGAACACCAGUGGCGAAGGCGACUUACUGGACUGUAACUGACGCUGAGGCAUGAGAGCAUGGGGAGCAAACAGG
rnacentral:rRNA from 1 species